rnacentral:lncRNA from 1 species
CAGCGCCCGGAGCUGCCGCCCUGUGCCGUCCCCGCCUGCAGGGGCAGCGCCGCCGCCGUGGGCUCCGGAGGGUCCCCGGGUGUUCGUCUUUUAGCUCAUCAGUUCUCGAAUGUGGCCCGGAGUGCCUUUGAGACGUCACAGAUGAGCGCAGGAGGUGGCUUGCACCUUCUGUGGCCGGGAGCUGAAACAACAAGCAGUGCCUUGCUCAGGAGCGAGCAAUGUCGAUGUACUGUGAUAGCCUCAGGCCAUCCCAUGAUUCUAUGACUGUCGUCG